AAACAGGAUCUCGCCAUUCCUACCGUCGCACUACAAAUUCAGGAUGUUGCCAAGCCUCAGGUUGGAAUGAAUUGUAGCUGCCUCUGACUUCACUGAACCUUACGACAUGUGGUCAGGCCUUAAAUUUAACCAGCUCUUGUCUGAUGAUCGGAUGAAAUUGGCGUGUGCCUUGUUUUUUCUUGAUGGAUGGACUUAUCCCGUCCUGUAAUCAGAGGAUCAAAUGAUAAGUACAUAAAAGGAGGCACAAAUCACUUUUUUGUUCUCGAUUACGUAGGAGAUUUGCCCAUCAUUUUGUAGAGAGGAAGCAUAUAUAUCCUUUACUCAAUCAGGUGGAUCAGUGGCUCAUGUUAGUAACUGGAUUCUGAUGGACAAAUGAAAAGAUCAGUGGCUGGAUCAAUAACAAAAGCAGUAUAUUCCAAGAUGCAAAAAAGUUUUUCUUAUUUCUUGAAUUUUGUAUCCAUUUAAACCUUUUUAGGUCUUGAUACUGUUUGUUCUCAAUCCUUUUACACAUAAUUUGCAUGAAAAAAACAGUGACUGACUAUACUAAUUUCUAUCAGAAAGUGACGACUGUUGAGCUUGUUGCGUGCCAUACAUCAAAAUGGGAAAAUUGGGGGAAGCAGUAGACAAGUUGCUCUGCUGUGUAUUAAUGAACCAGUUAACAGUAGGCAUGAUGGAAAGAUUCGGGAAAUAUGACGAGAUGCUUGAACCGGGAUAGCCCUCUGCCAUGGGAUAAUUGGAACCUGUGCAGCUGUGCUACUGGUGAGCUCAGGAUAAGGCAUAUGCAGCUAUACGUACGUUGCGAGAUAAAGGCAGAGGUACUAUGACAUAUAUUACUUCUCACAAGUUAAGAAGUACUAUCUGUUUAUCUUCUCCAUGCAUCACAUUUGCUGAUAAAUGAGUAAUAUGAAGCACUUGCAAAAAGUGUGCUCUAUCUGGCUUUAUUACUAUCAUAUAAAAAGUUAAAGAAAAUGGUGAUCAUUUUAGAGAUAAGGAAUAUAUUCAUGUGGGAAUUUCAGUUUUUGGUAGACUAUUUUAAAGACAAAUAGUGACUCGUUCCAUUGCUUGACAUGAACAACUGACUGGUGUAUGAAUGAUCAGCAUUGUCAGUCAUAUUUUCUACCUAUGUACCUGUUCCAAUAGAUGCAACUUGUGAAAUCAAAAUUUUCUUCCAUGUUUACAUGUUCCUCUAUUGAUUUUUUUUUCUGGAUUGUAAGAUACUACUACUAGAUAUUUUGUGUUUUCCCUUAUGAGCUCCACCUCCACUUAUGGCCAGUUUUUUUUUGAGGGAAUGCCAUUCGGCUAGCUUUAUUGAUCAUUAAACAUUGUUACAUCGUUUGCCAAAGUGCUUAGAAUAUAACCAGGAGGUUCAUCGACCCAAGUACACUUAUGGCCAGUUACUUACACUUAUUUUCCUCUAUUUGUCUCAGAACAGAUCAGUGUGUUAUAAGUUUUAAUUAAACUGAAUUGGGGAGAUUGUGUGAAGUGCAGGGAAGGGAACAGUAUUCUCUUUAUCGAAAAUCUCUGUUGAUCCUGAAGAAUGGUGAUAUGUACGUUUGACUCGCGCUUAUUUAUUGGCAUGGCUUUGAACAAGUGAAAUUUGAUCAAAGAUUCAGUAGUGAGAAUAUGGGAGAUAUGCUAUGAAGGGACGACAUGCGAGUUAUUUGUGUCCAAUUCACACAUGAUUUUAUCUAUCUUGAACUUUUUUUGUCCGGAUGUACAAAUGUCCAUUAUGGAGGAAACCGUGUACUAUUGCCUGCUCAUAACAUUCUUUACUGCUA